UCUCCCACCUACUCUCCACACCUCUCUGCCAUAUCUCAAUUAUAUCAAAUCAUGGAGACUUUACUCAUACCAAAGAGACUUUACUCAUUCUACACAAAAGACAUGUUGCAUUCUUCUCAUCUGCAUUCAAGAAGGCAAGAACGCACAAAAGAAGCCACCAAGCACCAAGCACCAACCAUCAUUAACCCUCAAGGCUUUGUGACCAGGGGGAUUAGCGCUGCUUUCCCAAGACAGGUUUAUAAGUGAUUAUGAUCUUCAGGCUUUGCCUAACCAGGUUGAGCAGUUGAUGGAAUGGAAUGAUGUUGAGCGGGUGUUCCUUUGACAUUUCAAGAAAUGUAACCUUGAGUAUACAUCUUCAUAUGUAUAUCUCACACGUUUUCCGCUGCAAAGCUCUUUGAUUAGGAUAGCUCAAUGUUAUGAAGUUGUUAUACGUGUUAUUGGGUAACCCACCUUAAUCAGUUCACAUUUAUGUGUAUGUUUUAUAAGUAUCCAAAUAAUCAUAUAUGAUCCUAGCAUUUUAUCUAUGAGUGACAUUUCCAUAUACUUUAAUGUUAAGUAAUUGUCCAUUUCCAUUUCUUAUUGUUCACCCCAAGUCAUAACCCCGGUUAACCCGUCAUUGGGAUAGUGGGCUGUGACAGAGUGGUAUCAGAGCGGUUCGUUCGCUCUGACCCUAGAAACCUUAUUCUAAAGAGUCGAGUCUAGUUUGAUUCUUUAGACUUACACGGGUUCAUAUGGCACCGCUCAACACUCCAUUGCAUCGUGCUCAAUCAAGGAAAGAAGGUAACUGCAGUUUCAACGUUUUAAAGAUGUUAAUGUUCUAAAAUGCUUCAUGAAUAUGUUUAUGUGAAGAGCAGGUUAUGAUGAAAUGUUGAAUGUUUUGCCUUUCAUGGCAUAUUUUCGCAAUCUAUGAUGUUAUGAUCAGACGAAUGAUAGAAAAAUUGACAUAUGUUUUCCCGGAGAACAUAGAUUGCUAUAAGUUGCAUGAUCACAAUUUUAAAAGAACAUAGACUACUAGAUUAGUAGGAUAUCUCUACAAUCUAGAUUCUUAAGGUGAUGAUGUAGAAGAAUGAAAGAGAACUUAGAGCAUUUCAGCUCCCUCAAGAAAACAAUGAUUCUU